AUCCAUCCGCCCGCUUCGAAGGUGAAGAAGCUGAGAUGCAGAGAACACAGGUCACGUGUUUGGGUCGUUUGGCUCUUGAGAAGCCAGAUCGGGACGAGGACCUCACGCAGACCUUCGUGUGCGUCCCGCCGGGAACUCCGUCCCGCCGUGGGGAUAUUUAGAAGCAGAUCACUGAGGGAUUCGCAUGGAAAAGAACGAGCAUCUGUAGUUUCUUCUCCUGAACUAUUAAUUUGCUUAAAAGUGAACCGAAAACCUAUACCACGUGGACAGUUCUGAAAACUGGAGAAGUUCAAAAGUUGGAGGAGUGUGAUUUAAGAGAAACGGGAACAGCAUCGUGCUUGGUGUGAUUUAAGGGACUUGGAGGGACAUCGAAGGGAGAAGAAGAAUCGUGGAGAGAUGGUCACAGAAGAGCUAAGAGUUCGUUGAAGAGACACCAUCCAAG